GACGAACGCUGGCGGCGCGCUUAACACAUGCAAGUCGAACGGAAAGGCCUGCUUUCCCUUGUGGAUUGCGGGUACUCGAGUGGCGAACGGGUGAGUAACACGUGAGUGAUCUGCCCCCAACUUGGGUAUAAGCCUGGGAAACUGGGUCUAAUUCCCGAUAGGACUGCAGGGUGGUGCCUGUGGUGGAAAACGAUUUUCUAGUGGUUGGGGAUGAGCUCGCGGCCUAUCAGCUUGUUGGUGGGGUAAUGGCCUACCAAGGCGGCGACGGGUAGCCGGCCUGAGAGGGUGGACGGCCACAUUGGGACGGGGAUACGGCCCAGACGCCUACGGGAGGCAGCAGUGGGGAAUAUUGCACAAUGGGCGGAAGCCUGAUGCAGCGACGCCGCGUGGGGGAUGACGGCCUUCGGGUUGUAAACUCCUUUCGACCGCGAGGAAGCCACCUGGUUGGAAGGGUGGUGACGGUAGUGGUAGAAGAAGCACCGGCUAACUACGU
rnacentral:rRNA from 1 species